UGAUGCUGCAUAGGGCUGCCACAAAUAGUAGGGGCUCAGUCAAGUUAGUAUAAUAGGAUUUUUUUUCCUCUUAUGUUGAAGUCCAUAGGCAGGUAGUCCAGCCUAGUACCAAGGUUUCAGAACCUAGGCUUUUCCCCCUCUCCUUCCUGCCUUAAAUGGCAUUUGGUUUCCUACUCAUGUUUCAGAAUGUUUGCUUGAGCUACAGCCAUCAUGUCCACAUUCAAACCAGUAAGAAAGAGGAAGGGGGAAAGGAUGUCUUCUCUCUUUUUAAGGACAUAUCUCAGAAGUUGUAUGUGACACUCUACUUACAUCUUCUUAGCCAAAACUUCCUCACAAAUCACACUAGCUGCAAAGAAAUCUGGAAAAUAUAGUUUUUAUUUGGGGUGUCAUAUGCCCAGCUAAAAAUCAAGGUUUUAUGAUCAAGGCAGAAGAGAAUGCACUUCUGACAUUACUGAUUUUUAAUGUUACAGCAAACCUUUCCCAACUCUCCAGCCAGAGGUUUGCAAUCUAAAACCUGCAAUGGGCUAGGAAAUUACAAUAAAAUUCUGAAUUUCAAAUUCUGAUCACCCCUCUACAGUGCAGCUGGUCCUGCUGGUCACAGGAAGGCCCCAGAAAGAAAUGAAGCCAUCAAGAAGCCAUUGAUGCUGUGACCUUCUGUUGCAGGCUGCUCCUCUACUUAGACAGGGAGAAGAUGGCCAUCUAUGAACCAGGAAGCCCUCACUAGACCCCAAGUCUGCCAGCACCUCGAACUUGGAUUCCUCAGUCUUCACAACAGUGUGAGCUGGCUCACCGCCAUGCUGUCUCUGAGAAGACUCCAUCUCUCGGAGAACAAUCUGCCUUGUUCAUGGCAUGAUGCAUGAAGAAAAGCAGCCGGGCAGGAGAGGGACAGGAAAAUCUCCCAUCUUCCUGCAUAGCUGAGGCUUUCCCUACUCCUAGGGAGAAGGCACUGAAGUGAAUCCCAUGAACAUUCUCAACUGUUUCCAAAAUGUUGCCAAUAUUCUUCUGUAUAUUGAUAUUUUGAAAUCCCCAAUGUAGUGGUAUGUUGUAUUUGAGCCCAGAUUUAAAAUUGUAUAUGUUUCAUUCUAGCUUGGUUUCUGUCAUUCUCAAUGAUUUCUUUAUUUUCUUAAAUAUUUCUGAAUAAAAGGGCC
rnacentral:lncRNA from 1 species